CGGCGUGCCUAAUACAUGCAAGUAGAACGCUGAAGGAGGAGCUUGCUUCUCUGGAUGAGUUGCGAACGGGUGAGUAACGCGUAGGUAACCUGCCUGGUAGCGGGGGAUAACUAUUGGAAACGAUAGCUAAUACCGCAUAAUAGUAGAUGUUGCAUGACAUUUGCUUAAAAGGUGCAAUUGCAUCACUACCAGAUGGACCUGCGUUGUAUUAGCUAGUUGGUGAGGUAACGGCUCACCAAGGCAACGAUACAUAGCCGACCUGAGAGGGUGAUCGGCCACACUGGGACUGAGACACGGCCCAGACUCCUACGGGAGGCAGCAGUAGGGAAUCUUCGGCAAUGGACGGAAGUCUGACCGAGCAACGCCGCGUGAGUGAAGAAGGUUUUCGGAUCGUAAAGC
rnacentral:rRNA from 1 species